rnacentral:rRNA from 1 species
GACAGAGGUGCCGAGCGUUAGGCGGAAUCACUGGGCUUAAAGCGUGUGUAGGCGGAUGCCUAAGUACCUUGUGAGAUCCCACGGCUCAACCGUGGAACUGCUUGGUAUACUGGGUGUCUUGAGCUAUCUAGGGGCAACUGGAACAAACGGUGGAGCGGUGAAAUGCGUAGAUAUCGUUUGGAACGCCAAUGGUGAAAACAGGUUGCUGGGGAUAUGCUGACGCUGAGACACGAAAGCCAGGGGAGCAAACGGG